UAAGGAAUAUUGGUCAAUGGACGCAAGUCUGAACCAGCCAUGCCGCGUGAAGGGAUUAAAGGUCCUCUGGAUUGUAAAACUUCUUUUUAUCUGGGACGAAAAAAGGCGAUUCUUCGUCACUUGACGGUACCAGAUGAAUAAGCACCGGCUAACUCCGUGCCAGCAGCCGCGGUAAUACGGAGGGGUGCAAGCGUUAUCCGGAUUCACUGGGUUUAAAGGGUGCGUAGGCGGGGCAGGUAAUCGUGGUGAAAAUCCUGGAGCUUAACUCCAGAACUGCCAUUGAUACUAUCUGUCUUGAAUAUUGUGGAGGUAAGCGGAAUAUGUCAUGUAGCGGUGAAAUGCUUAGAUAUGACAUAGAACACCUAUUGCGAAGGCAGCUUACUACGCAUAUAUUGACGCUGAGGCACGAAAGCGUGGGGAUCAAACAGGAUUAGAUACCCUGGUAGUCCACGCCCUAAACGAUGGAUACUCGACAUACGCGAUACACUGUGUGUGUCUGAGCGAAAGCAUUAAGUAUCCCCACCUGGGGAAGUAC
rnacentral:rRNA from 1 species